rnacentral:rRNA from 1 species
AGCGAACGCUGGCGGCAGGCUUAACACGUGCCAGUCGAGCGGGCACUUUCGGGUGUCAGCGGCGGACGGGUGAGUAACGCGUGGGAACGUGCCCUCUGGUUCGGAAUAACUCAGGGAAACUUGAGCUAAUACCGGAUACGCCCUUUUGGGGAAAGGCUUGCUGCCGGAGGAUCGGCCCGCGUCUGAUUAGCUAGUUGGUGAGGUAACGGCUCACCAAGGCGACGAUCAGUAGCUGGUCUGAGAGGAUGAUCAGCCACACUGGGACUGAGACACGGCCCAGACUCCUACGGGAGGCAGCAGUGGGGAAUAUUGGACAAUGGGCGCAAGCCUGAUCCAGCCAUGCCGCGUGAGUGAUGAAGGCCUUAGGGUUGUAAAGCUCUUUUAUCCGGGACGAUAAUGACGGUACCGGAGGAAUAAGCCCCGGCUAACUUCGUG